CACGUAGGGGCAAGCGUUGUCCGGAUUUAUUGGGCGUAAAGAGCUCGUAGGCGGUUCGGUAAGUCGGGUGUGAAACCUCCAGGCUCAACCUGGAGACGCCACCUGAUACUGCUGUGACUCGAGUCCGGUAGGGGAGCGUGGAAUUCCUGGUGGUAGCGGUGAAAUGCGCAGAUAUCAGGAGGAACACCAGCGGCGAAGGCGGCGCUCGUGGGCGGAACUGACGCUGAGGAGCGAAAGCGUGGGUAGCAAACAGG
rnacentral:rRNA from 1 species